rnacentral:rRNA from 1 species
UGGGGAAUAUUGGACAAUGGGCGCAAGCCUGAUCCAGCCAUGCCGCGUGAGUGAUGAAGGCCUUAGGGUUGUAAAGCUCUUUCGCCCGCGAAGAUAAUGACGGUAGCGGGAGAAGAAGCCCCGGCUAACUUCGUGCCAGCAGCCGCGGUAAUACGAAGGGGGCUAGCGUUGUUCGGAAUCACUGGGCGUAAAGCGCACGUAGGCGGACGUUUAAGUCAGAGGUGAAAGCCUGGAGCUCAACUUCAGAACUGCCUUUGAUACUGAACGUCUCGAGUCCGGGAGAGGUGAGUGGAACUGCUAGUGUAGAGGUGAAAUUCGUAGAUAUUAGCAAGAACACCAGUGGCGAAGGCGGCUCACUGGCCCGGUACUGACGCUGAGGUGCGAAAGCGUGGGGAGCAAACAGG